GGAACCAGGAAGUCUCAGGGUGACAGCGUGGACGCUGACGGAGCUAUGGGGAGAGACAGGCACCCAGGGAAGACUCCCAUCUCUGGGAGAAGGCUUGUACUCUCAAACCGGACAGUUUUCCCCUGAAGAAGCCCAUUCUAUGGGAGAAACAUGUUGGGAAACCCAUCCUACAAUGCUGUCCUGUAAAAAUUUGUGAUAUUUGUACUUGCCCUAUGUUACAUUUUACUAUAUAUUUUUUGUUUUGUUCUUCAAAUAAAAAGUAAAUUAUUUUUAACCA